UGGGGAAUAUUGCACAAUGGGCGAAAGCCUGAUGCAGCAACGCCGCGUGAGUGAAGAAGGCCUUUGGGUCGUAAAGCUCUUUCGGCCGGGAAGAAGGGUUUCAUGGUAAAUAAUCAUGAGAUUUGACUGUACCGGAAGAAGAAGCACCGGCUAACUACGUGCCAGCAGCCGCGGUAAUACGUAGGGUGCAAGCGUUGUUCGGAAUCACUGGGCGUAAAGGGCGCGUAGGCGGGCUUGCAAGUCGAUUGUGAAAUCCCCGGGCUUAACCUGGGAACUGCAGUCGAAACUGCAAGUCUUGAAUGUCUGAGAGGGUGGGGGAAUUCCUGGUGUAGAAGUGAAAUUCGUAGAUAUCAGGAGGAACACCGGCGGCGUAGGCGCCUACCUGGCAGUACAUUGACGC
rnacentral:rRNA from 1 species